UACAUGGGGUGCAAACGUUGCUCGGAUUCAUUGGGCGUAAAGGGUGCGUAGGCGGCAAUUCAAGUCAGUUGUGAAAUCUCCGAGCUUAACUCGGAACGGUCAACUGAUACUGCUUUGCUAGAGUACAGAAGGGGCAAUCGGAAUUCUUGGUGUAGCGGUGAAAUGCGUAGAUAUCAAGAGGAACACCUGAGGUGAAGACGGGUUGCUGGGCUGACACUGACGCUGAGGCGCGAAAGCCAGGGGAGCAAACGGG
rnacentral:rRNA from 1 species